rnacentral:lncRNA from 1 species
UUGUUGUACCAGCAUCCGGCGACGAGGACAUGUGCAGGCCGGAGAACUUGGACUGGUUGUAGAGCGGCGGCGCCUGCGGUGGCGGCAGCAGCGGAAGCGGCGCUGGCGGUCGCGCGGCGGCGGCGGCGGUUGGCGGGGCGUGGGUGAGGUCGAGCGUGACAGUGGGGAAGGGCGCGGACGCGGAGAUGGUGGCCAUGCUGGAGGAGCAGGGCAGCACGGCGCGCGCGAGGAAGCUGUUGUCGGCGCUGGGCAUGGAGCCCGAGAGCAGCAUGGAUGCGGCGGCGGAGGUGGUGGAGGCCAUGGCCAUGGCGGCGGGCGGCAGCGGGUGGUUGUGCGUGCCCUCGUAGGUGGUGAUGAGGAUGGAGCGGUCGUCGGCGCAGCGCUGCACCUGCAUUGCAUUGCAUGCGGGCAGUCAGCGGUCGGUAGUCGUCGGUCAGCCAGCCGUGUUUAUAUUAUAUAUAUAUAUAUAGAUAGAUAGAUAGAUAAACAAGCUGGUGUAGCAGUAUUUGUUUGACCAGAAGCCAGUCAGCAAGCCAGGAUGGAUUGACCGGGGUCGGGUCGUCGCAGAAAUCAAAGUUACCUGC